rnacentral:rRNA from 1 species
ACCUUAAUCCAACAUCGAGGUCGCAAUCUCCUUUGUCGAUAUGAACUCUCCAAAAGAAUUACGCGGUUAUCCCUAAGGGAUCCAAUCUAAUAAAACAAUAAUAAAAGGUCAAAUAAACUAAAAUCAUUGUGAUAAUAUAAAAGAGUUAAUCAAAUCCCCCUGUCACCCCAACCAAAAAUUUUAUAAAUUAUCUAUAAAUAAUACCAAAAAAAUAAAAAUUCAAAUAAUAAAGAUCUAUAGGGUCUUCGGGCCCCACGAAUAAAUUUAAGCUUUCUAACCUAUAUAUUAGAUUCAAUAAAUUAAUUUGAGACAGUAAAUAUUUCGUCCAACCAUUCAUACCAACUCACACUUAAUAAACUAAUGAUUAUGCUACCUUUGCACGGUCACUAUACCGCGGCCAUUAAAA